rnacentral:rRNA from 1 species
UACGAAGGGUGCAAGCGUUACUCGGAAUUACUGGGCGUAAAGGGUGCGUAGGUGGUCGUUUAAGUCCGUUGUGAAAUCCCUGGGCUCAACCUGGGAAUGGCAAUGGAUACUGGCAGGCUAGAGUGCGGUAGAGGGUAGUGGAAUUCCCGGUGUAGCGGUGAAAUGCGUAGAGAUCGGGAGGAACACCAGUGGCGAAGGCGGCUACCUGGACCAGCACUGACACUGAGGCACGAAAGCGUGGGGAGCAAACAGG